rnacentral:rRNA from 1 species
CUGGCGAUGAGGGAUGAACCUAACGUCGAGUUAACGUGCCCAACUUGCACGCGCAUCAGAUACCAUGAAAGGGUUUUGAUUUCAUUUUGACAGCAGGACGGUGGCCAUGGAAGUCGGAAUCCGCUAAGGAGUGUGUAACAACUCACCUGCCGAAUGAACUAGCCCUGAAAAUGGAUGGCGCUGAAGCGGGCCACUUAUACAUCACCAUCAGCGCAAGAUGUAGGCGUUGAUGAGUAGGAGGGCGUGCGGCUUGUGACGCAUCCUUCGGCGUGAGCCGGGGUGAAACAGGCUGUAGUGCAGAUCUUGGUGAUAGUAGCAAAUAUUCAAAUGAGAACUUUGAAGACUGAAGUGGAGAAAGGU